GCCUAGUUAGCUUAGUUGGUAGUGCGUCUGCCUUGUAAGCGCUAGGCCGCGGGUUCGAUUCCCGCCCAGGGAG
rnacentral:tRNA from 1 species